CAUUGUUGUAAUGCUUGCACAUCCAUGUUAGGGACCACCUUCACAGCCACAGCCAUGGCCACAACCUCCUGUUUCUAAGCUUUUCCUUUCACUUUGGAUAUACUCUCAUUACCAUCUUACCCUUUGGUAAAAUCUUCACUACAGAUUUCAUGAAGUUCGAGCAUGUCUACUAUACUGCCUUCAUUUAGCUCUCAUCUGUUUACAUAUUCCAUUUAUAUGACAACUUUUUAUACCUAAAUCAAUGGUGUCUAUUUGUAACCUUUCCACUCUGCCUAUUAGCUAUCCUAUCCCAAAGAGUUAUACUUACACACAAACAUGCCUACAGACAGGAGAGUCGCAUGAUUGUCAUCUCCAACUACGGACUUACACUUUCAAAUCAUCAUGAUGAAACUGAGAAUGAGAAAAGACCAGGACUGUGGAUCACAGAGGCAGUGGGAAAGGUAGAAGCAGAUCAUGGUUUCACCAUAGCUGUUCCAUUAUCUCUGCAUCAUAGAUCAUUUUAUAUGGCCGGAUUGACUUUUCACAAAACAGGACCCAGGACAAGAAAGAUCUACUAAGCAGAUGGAGAAG
rnacentral:lncRNA from 1 species